GAAUAGGUAAGCUAAAUUUUUAAGCUCUUGGGCUCAUAACCCAAUAAUAGAUUAUAUCUCCUAAUCA
rnacentral:tRNA from 1 species